AUCGCUCAGGAUGAACGCUGGCGGCGUGCUUAAUACAUGCAAGUCGAACGAGUUCUGAUUAUUGAAAGGUGCUUGCAUCUUGAUUUAAUUUUGAACGAGUGGCGGACGGGUGAGUAACACGUGGGUAACCUGCCCUUAAGUGGGGGAUAACAUUUGGAAACAGAUGCUAAUACCGCAUAAAUCCAAGAACCGCAUGGUUCUUGGCUGAAAGAUGGCGUAAGCUAUCGCUUUUGGAUGGACCCGCGGCGUAUUAGCUAGUUGGUGAGGUAACGGCUCACCAAGGCAAUGAUACGUAGCCGAACUGAGAGGUUGAUCGGCCACAUUGGGACUGAGACACGGCCCAAACUCCUACGGGAGGCAGCAGUAGGGAAUCUUCCACAAUGGACGCAAGUCUGAUGGAGCAACGCCGCGUGAGUGAAGAAGGCUUUCGGGUCGUAAAACUCUGUUGUUGGAGAAGAAUGGUCGGCAGAGUAACUGUUGUCGGCGUGACGGUAUCCAACCAGAAAGCCACGGCUAACUACGUGCCAGCAGCCGCGGUAAUACGUAGGUGGCAAGCGUUAUCCGGAUUUAUUGGGCGUAAAGCGAGCGCAGGCGGUUUUUUAAGUCUGAUGUGAAAGCCCUCGGCUUAACCGAGGAAGUGCAUCGGAAACUGGGAAACUUGAGUGCAGAAGAGGACAGUGGAACUCCAUGUGUAGCGGUGAAAUGCGUAGAUAUAUGGAAGAACACCAGUGGCGAAGGCGGCUGUCUGGUCUGUAACUGACGCUGAGGCUCGAAAGCAUGGGUAGCGAACAGGAUUAGAUACCCUGGUAGUCCAUGCCGUAAACGAUGAAUGCUAGGUGUUGGAGGGUUUCCGCCCUUCAGUGCCGCAGCUAACGCAUUAA
rnacentral:rRNA from 1 species